AAAUGAAUAGACGGGGGCCCGCACAAGCGGUGGAGCAUGUGGUUUAAUUCGAUGCAACGCGAAGAACCUUACCAGCCCUUGACAUGUCCGGUCGGUUUCCAGAGAUGGAUUCCUCCUAGCAAUAGGUCGGAACACAGGUGCUGCAUGGCUGUCGUCAGCUCGUGUCGUGAGAUGUUGGGUUAAGUCCCGCAACGAGCGCAACCCUCGCCAUUAGUUGCCAUCAUUAAGUUGGGCACUCUAAUGGGACUGCCGGUGAUAAGCCGGAGGAAGGUGAGGAUGACGUCAAGUCAUCAUGGCCCUUACGGGCUGGGCUACACACGUGCUACAAUGGCAGUGACAAUGCGCAGCGACACAGCAAUGUGAUGCUAAUCGCAAAAAGCUGUCUCAGUUCGGAUUGAGGUCUGCAACUCGACCUCAUGAAGUCGGAAUCGCUAGUAAUCGCGGAUCAGAACGCCGCGGUGAAUACGUUCCCGGGCCUUGUACACACCGCCCGU
rnacentral:rRNA from 1 species